rfam:Chryseobacterium indologenes NBRC 14944 DNA, contig: CIN01S13.
UUCUAGCCCCGAUUGCAACGGCAUCCUUUUUCUGAAAUGGCUUUGUAAAAAAGCCUUGGCGAAAAAGAUAGAGUGGAAAGCGGGAAUAAGC